GCCGUAAUGCGGCUUAUCGAGUUUUCGGUAAACGGUCACAAGCCCGUGUAAACGCAGAGUGAGGA
rnacentral:ribozyme from 2 species